GUGAGGAAUAUUGCGCAAUGGAGGCAACUCUGACGCAGCCAUGCCGCGUGCAGGAAGAAGGCGCUACGCGUUGUAAACUGCUUUUAACCGGGAAGAAACCCCAGGACGUGUCCUGGGUUGACGGUACCGGAGGAAUAAGCACCGGCUAACUUCGUGCCAGCAGCCGCGGUAAUACGAAGGGUGCAAGCGUUAUCCGGAUUCAUUGGGUUUAAAGGGUGCGUAGGCGGAGCGUUAAGUCAGUGGUGAAAUCCUGCAGCUUAACUGUAGACUUGCCAUUGAUACUGGCGCUCUUGAGUGCGCUUGAAGUGGGCGGAAUGUGCCGUGUAGCGGUGAAAUGCUUAGAUAUGGCACAGAACACCAAUUGCGAAGGCAGCUCACUAAGGCGAUACUGACGCUGAGGCACGAAAGCGUGGGGAGCAAACAGGAUUAGAAACCCCAGUAGUCC
rnacentral:rRNA from 1 species